CAGGCCAUGGAAGAGCUCAAAAAGGACUUUAAGAAUCAAAUCCAAGGUCAGGACAAUGACCACUGGGUUCAAGAUCUUUUCAACAGAAUUGCAUCUCGGGGUAAACUAGGCAAGGACCAGAAGGGCACAGAGUUUUCUAACACCAUCCUUCCAAUGAAAUCAGGGUAGAUUGUAGCCCUGGAUAAGAGUGAGAGUUGAUGAUAAAGGGACCAAGGAAAUAGAUUACGAAAAAGAAGAGCAAAAGCAGAAUUAGACGAGGGAGAAGAGGAGAUCUUGGCUAUUCUGCUGAACCGUCUUCCCUGCAGAAGUCGCUUACUUAAACCCAAGAGAGAGAUCCUGUGGAAGACAGACACCAGUAGCAUUCCCCCAGGGAUGAGCCAUGUCUGCUCCAAAAGCAAGGGUCUUGUUUCCUCUCCUGGAUAUUGAUCCUUGAGGGGGAAGAUGAGAGUUCCUCAGAGACACUGUCUCAAACACAAGCUGAGUCUGAUGAGCCUGGGCCAGUUUCCACCUGUGGCUGCCUCUCUUAGUGAUCUGAAGGCUCAGACAGCCAAUCUCUGGGAUCUUUGUCACUGACCACAGGAAGGCACAGAUGAGCAGAAUACUGACCCAGGGCUGUCUGCUUGCUUAUACAAACCUUAGACAAUUGAUGUGUACAACACUCCACCUCAGUCUUUGCUUAUUCGGGAAAAGAAAUAACACACACAGCUGUGAUCCAGAGAAGCCAGGAUAUGGAGAUGAGGAAGGAGUUUAUUCCAGGCAUGGGGAACAAUCAGUGAAAAGUCUCAGUCAGGAGAUGAAUGCUUUGGGCAAGGAACAGCAAGGUUCCUGGUAUUAGUGUAUUGUAAGAAUGUGCAGGGUUGGGUGUUAGGCAUAAGAAUACUGGAAGGUUGAGGUGCCUUGUUUAUGAAGGGCUUUGAAUGCCAAAGAAAAGAUUUUACAUUUGAUUCAGAAUGUGAUAAGUUGUUA